rnacentral:lncRNA from 1 species
ACUACAAAAAAAACGUUAUUUAGUGGGGGUUUUUUAGCGGGGGUUUUGAUAACCCCCGCAAAUGUCGUUGCUUUUUAAUAGUUAAGGGGGGUUUUAAUAACCCCCGCAAAAUUUUCAUUAAUUACCCCCUCGUUCUCGUUCUCCAUCACUCUCAGUCACUCUCACUCAUUCGUUCUCGUUCUCAACUCUCACUCGUUCGUUCAACCAUGGAUUUCCACCGAUUUGAUCUCGAUUUCCACCGAUUUCAACCUGAUUUCCACCGAUUUCAACCUGAUUCCACCGAUUCCAACCUCCCGAUUCCAACCUCCCGAUUUCCACCGAUUUCUUCUGUUUCGAGCUCCCUUCGAUCACUCUCUUCGAUCUCGCUUCUCAAUUCUCUUUCAGAUUGCGAUUUAGGGUUCUACGCAAACGUUGAUAAUUUCCUCUGCACAUUCCUCUCCAUUUCCAUAGAAUCGCGAUUCGCAAUUUGAAGAUCUGUGUUGUGCCGAGUCUUCGCGUCAAGCUUGGGUGGUGAAUAUCUCAGGCGGCCGCGGACGGCGGCGACGAUAGCGGCGGCGGUUGGUGGAGGAGCUGGAACGGGAAGAGAGGUGGAUAAUUGUGAUCGGAGAAGAGAAUGAUGUAUUUGAAGCAGCCUAGGAUUUCGCAGAGCAUGGAGUUGUUGUUGUUGUUUGAUUUGGUUGUUUGCGUUUCUGUGUGUGGUUGUUGCUGUGGCCCCUC